AUAUUUAAUUUUUAAUUUGAAUUUAAAUUAAUAUAUUAUAAAGAUAAUGUUAGUAUAUUAAUUUGAUUACGUUUUUUAUAUCCACCUGAACCAAACACUGAUAAUGGGAAUGAUUUAUUCCGAUUCCUAUUCAGGUGAUGAACCAAACAGAAUUAGGUAAUGAGUCAUUCCGAUUCCGAUUCCAGCUUAUUUUGAUUCCGAUUCCGAUUCCGACUCCGACUUCGAACCAAACACGCCCUCAAAAUAUACAAGUUAUAGUGUGUGUAUAUAUAUAUUGAGAUUAUUAUAUUCUUAUGAAUAUAAAGCCUCUUUGUACUAAUAAAUUUUCAGCAGUUAGAUAAAGGGAUAUCCGGUUAAAAUGAUAGUGAUCCCCUAGGCUUUGUUUCGUUCGGGAUUAAGUAAGAAUUAGUUAUUCCAGAAAUAGAUAUAAGUUCAAGUGUAAAUCUGGAAUAAACUAAUUUUGCGUUUUGAUAAAAAUUAAGCUGUUUUCGGGAAUAAAAAAAAUAGGGUUUGGACAGCUAAAAUGGAAGAAGAAGAAUAGUGGGUAGUUAUAAAUAGAAAAUAAUGAUAUUGCUCCAAUUAUUAUAUUUAAAUUUAAAUUUUUUUAUUUUGUAUUUAAAAAUUUCAAAUUUAAAUAUAUAACUUUAAAAUAGAAAAUUGCAAAAUUUAAAAUCUAAAUUUUUAAAUCACAAAUUUAAAAAUUUAAAGUUAUAAUUUUAAAUUAAAUGUAAACUUACAAAUAUAAAAUAUUAAAUUUAAAUUUUAUAUAACUAAAAAUAACAAUUUUAAAAUUUAAAAUUUAAAUUUUAAAUAUUAAUUUUAAGAUUAUAAAUUAUAAAUUAUUGAAAUUUUAAAUUUAAAUUUUAAAUUUUAAAUUUUAAUUUAAAUAUUAAAUAGGGGUGGUAUUAA
rnacentral:lncRNA from 1 species